GUCAUCGAAGAACUUCUGGAUGAACUCCAUGGGGUAGCCUGGUUCUCCAAGCUAGACCUUCGAGCAGGCUAUCACCAAAUUUGGUUGGCUCCAGGGGAGGAGUACAAAACAGCUUUCCAAACACGCCAAGGUCACUUCGAAUUCAAAGUGGUUUCGUUCGGCCUUGCUGGUGCACCAGCAACCUUCAUCGGGGCAGUCACCACUACACUGAAACCUAUCAACCGUGUCUGCGUCGUGUCCUUCUUCGACGACAUCUUAGUUUUCAGCAUCUCUCUCGAAGAUCAUGUGAUUCAUUUGCGUCAGGUUUUGGGGCUUCUGUGGAAGGACAGUUGGAAGGCUAAGAUGAGCAAAUGUGUUUUCGGACAGCAG
rnacentral:rRNA from 1 species